GACGAACGCUGGCGGCGCGCCUAACACAUGCAAGUCGAACGAGCGAGCGAGAGCUUGCUUUCUCGAGCGAGUGGCGAACGGGUGAGUAACGCGUGAGGAACCUGCCUCAAAGAGGGGGACAACAGUUGGAAACGACUGCUAAUACCGCAUAAGCCCACGGUGCCGCAUGGCACAGAGGGAAAAGGAGCAAUCCGCUUUGAGAUGGCCUCGCGUCCGAUUAGCUAGUUGGUGAGGUAAUGGCCCACCAAGGCGACGAUCGGUAGCCGGACUGAGAGGUUGAACGGCCACAUUGGGACUGAGACACGGCCCAGACUCCUACGGGAGGCAGCAGUGGGGAAUAUUGCACAAUGGGGGAAACCCUGAUGCAGCGACGCCGCGUGGAGGAAGAAGGUCUUCGGAUUGUAAACUCCUGUUGUUGGGGAAGAUAAUGACGGUACCCAACAAGGAAGAGACGGCUAACUACGUG
rnacentral:rRNA from 1 species